AAACGUGAGGGCGAUCUGGCUGUGACAUCUGUCACCCCAUUGAUCACCAGGGUUGAUUCGGCUGAUCUGGCUGGCUAGGCAGGUGUCCCCUUCCUCCCUCACCACUCCAUGUGCGUCCCUUCCGAAGCUGUGCACUCAGUCAAAGAGGAUGACCCUCCCCGAUAGAGACAUAUCAUUCAUUGGUCAAGGGUAUACAGUAGCUGCGCUCCCAUGCUAGAACCUCUAAACAAGCUCAAGGUCCAUUUGUGGGAGAACAUAGGGUAGUCAAGCUUCCAAGACUACAGACACAUCCAAGUGAGGCACUGCAUGGCACAGUUUGCCAUUAU
rnacentral:snRNA from 1 species